UGGGGAAUAUUGGACAAUGGGCGAAAGCCUGAUCCAGCCAUGCCGCGUGAGUGACGAAGGCCUUAGGGUUGUAAAACUCUUUCGUCGGGGACGAUAAUGACGGUACCCGAAGAAGAAGCUCCGGCUAACUUCGUGCCAGCAGCCGCGGUAAUACGAAGGGAGCUAGCGUUGUUCGGAAUCACUGGGCGUAAAGCGCACGUAGGCGGAUAGUUAAGUCAGGGGUGAAAUCCCGGGGCUCAACCUCGGAACUGCCUUUGAUACUGUAGAUCUCGAGUCCGGAAGAGGUGAGUGGAAUUCCUAGUGUAGAGGUGAAAUUCGUAGAUAUUAGGAAGAACACCAGUGGCGAAGGCGGCUCACUGGUCCGGUACUGACACUGAGGUGCGAAAGCGUGGGGAGCAAACAGGAUUAGAUACCCCAGUAGUCCCUGAGCGGGCUGGCAAGGCGCAU
rnacentral:rRNA from 1 species